rnacentral:rRNA from 1 species
GAUGAACGCUGGCGGCGUGCCUAAUACAUGCAAGUCGAGCGAACAGACGAGGAGCUUGCUCCUCUGACGUUAGCGGCGGACGGGUGAGUAACACGUGGAUAACCUACCUAUAAGACUGGGAUAACUUCGGGAAACCGGAGCUAAUACCGGAUAACAUGUUGAACCGCAUGGUUCAACAGUGAAAGACGGUCUUGCUGUCACUUAUAGAUGGAUCCGCGCCGCAUUAGCUAGUUGGUAAGGUAACGGCUUACCAAGGCAACGAUGCGUAGCCGACCUGAGAGGGGGAUCGGCCACACGGGAACUGAGACACGGUCCAGACUCCUACGGGAGGCAGCAGUAGGGAAUCUUCCGCAAUGGGCGAAAGCCUGACGGAGCAACGCCGCGUGAGUGAAGAAGGUCUUCGGAUCGUAAAACUCUGUUAUUAGGGAAGAACAAAUGUGUAAGUAACUAUGCACGUCUUGACGGUACCUAAUCAGAAAGCCACGGCUAACUACGUG